AUGAAAGCACACAUACUGCAAUAUGUGCGUUGCUGUCAGGUAUGCCAGCAAGCCAAACCUGACCGCGCCGCUUCACCAGGAUUGCUCCUACCUCUGCCAGUUCCCAAGCAACCAUGGGAUAUGAUCUCCAUGGAUUUCGUCGAUGGCCUCCCUCAGUCCAGUAAGUUCAAUUGCCUGUUAGUUGUUGUGGACAAGCGUACAAAGUUUGCAUACUUCCUUCCCUUGGCGCAUCCUUACACAGCAGCGACAAUGGCUCAACUCUAUUUACACCAAAUUUACAAAAUCCAUGGACUUCCUGGCGCAAUCGUGUCCGACAGGGACCCAGUCUUCACAAGUCAUUUCUGGCAGGAACUGUUUCGAGGGGCAGGAACAGAGCUUCGUCUCAGCACAGCAAACCACCCACAAACCAAUGGGCAAACAGAGCGCGUCAAUCAAUGUGUUGAAACCUUUCUGCGCUGUUUCACUCAGGCCUGCCCGCGGCGAUGGAGUUUCUGGAUUCCAUUAGCGCAGUUCUGGUACAACAACAGUCAUCAUUCAGCAAUCGACAUGACACCGUUCAAGGCUAUGUUUGGUUAUGAACCGCGUCAAUGGGGAAUCACUGCUGACAGCACUUGUUCUGUCCCUGCCCUCCAGUCCUGGCUGGACGAACGCGCCAUGGUGCAAGAAUUGCUGCAACAACACCUCAACAGAGCACGCCAGCUGAUGAAAGUACAUGCUGACAAGAAACGAUCAUUCCGCUCCGCACCUUCCAAGUGGGCGAUCGGGUUUUCCUCAAGCUUCAACCCUACAUUCAAUCAUCGAUCGCCCCAAGAGCUAAUCACAAGCUCGCUUACAAGUACUAUGGACCAUUCCCAAUGA
rnacentral:rRNA from 1 species